AACGAACGCUGGCGGCAGGCUUAACACAUGCAAGUCGAACGCCCCGCAAGGGGAGUGGCAGACGGGUGAGUAACGCGUGGGCACGUGCCCUUCGCUUCGGAAUAGCCCCGGGAAACUGGGAGUAAUACCGAAUACGCCGUAUUGGGCAAGAUUUAUCGGCGAAGGAUCGGCCCGCGUUAGAUUAGCUAGUUGGCGGUGUAAUGGACCGCCAAGGCUACGAUCUAUAGCUGGUCUGAGAGGAUGAUCAGCCAAACUGGGACUGAGACACGGCCCAGACUCCUACGGGAGGCAGCAGUGGGGAAUCUUGGACAAUGGGCGCAAGCCUGAUCCAGCCAUGCCGCGUGAGUGAAGAAGGCCUUAGGGUUGUAAAACUCUUUCGCCGGAGAAGAUAAUGACGGUAUCCGGAGAAGAAGCCCCGGCUAACUUCGUGCCAGCAGCCGCCGUAA
rnacentral:rRNA from 1 species